rnacentral:rRNA from 1 species
UACGUGGGGGACGAGCGUUUUUCGUCAUGAUUGGGUGUAAAGGGUUCGUAGGCAGCAUUUAUAGAUUUUUCGUGAAAGGCAGGGAUGAUCUCUCUGAGAGUGCGUUUAAUAUCAUGUUUGCUAAGAAUAUGUCAGAGGUUAACAGAAUUUUAUGGCUAUUAUCAGGUCAAAUUGUAAACCAUAAAGGAAUGCCAGCGGCGAAAGCGGUUAACUGGGAUAUAUUGACGUUGAGGAACGAAAGCGUGGGUAGCGAAUGGG